UUUAAAGAGAGUUUGAUCCUGGCUCAGGACGAACGCUGGCGGCGUGCCUAAUACAUGCAAGUCGAACGAACGGAGGAAGAGCUUGCUCUUCCAAAGUUAGUGGCGGACGGGUGAGUAACACGUGGGCAACCUGCCUGUAAGUUGGGGAUAACUCCGGGAAACCGGGGCUAAUACCGAAUGAUAAAGUGUGGCGCAUGCCACGCUUUUGAAAGAUGGUUUCGGCUAUCGCUUACAGAUGGGCCCGCGGUGCAUUAGCUAGUUGGUAGGGUAAUGGCCUACCAAGGCAACGAUGCAUAGCCGACCUGAGAGGGUGAUCGGCCACACUGGGACUGAGACACGGCCCAGACUCCUACGGGAGGCAGCAGUAGGGAAUCUUCCGCAAUGGACGAAAGUCUGACGG
rnacentral:rRNA from 1 species